rnacentral:lncRNA from 1 species
UUCUCCUGAAUGUUACCCAUUUUUCCUUCUAGUGACUGGAAAUCUUUUACCCCAACACUUCCCAAUUGAAGGAACUUCUGAAGGGAAACCUGAGCAGACUACCUCAGCUCCUGUUGCCCAGGGUUUGCAGCCCCUUUGCGCCUUAGCAGAUGAGUUGCUAUUGCUGAAAACUUCAUCAUGUUGUAACCCAAAUGGUAAAAACUUCUCAACAUUUAGCCAGAGAAAGAAAUAAUCAUAGGCCUUAAAAGGACAAAACAAAACUUUAAAAAAGAAGUUGAAACAGUAUAAAUGAGAAGAUGGCUAAAGAAUACCUGACUAUCUCAAUAUAGGUCAUUUGACCCAGACGGACUACACACUCAGGUUCUGAAAAUACUGGCAGAUAUGAAUGCAAACAACAACAACAAAAAAAAAAAACGUUGUUGGUGAUAUUUGAAAGAUCAUGGAGAAAGUAAAAAGAGUCAUAAUCCUGGAUGUAGAU